UUGCUUUGGUAAUAAAUAUACUAAACUUGAAAUGAAGAAGAUUAGCAUGGCCCCUGGGCAAGGGUGAUGCAAAUUCACAAAGCAUUCCAAAUUUUU
ensembl:snRNA U6 U6 spliceosomal RNA